rnacentral:rRNA from 1 species
GACGAACGCUGGCGGCGUGCUUAACACAUGCAAGUCGAGCGGAAAGGCCCCUUUGGGGGUACUCGAGCGGCGAACGGGUGAGUAACACGUGAGUAAUCUGCCCUUCACUUCGGGAUAGCUCCGGGAAACCGGGAUUAAUACCGGAUGGGACCAUUCUGCGCAUGCAGUGGUGGUGGAAAGUUUCUCGGUGGGGGAUGGGCUCGCGGCCUAUCAGCUUGUUGGUGGGGUAAUGGCCUACCAAGGCUUCGACGGGUAGCCGGCCUGAGAGGGUGACCGGUCACACUGGGACUGAGACACGGCCCAGACUCCUACGGGAGGCAGCAGUGGGGAAUAUUGGACAAUGGGCGGAAGCCUGAUCCAGCAACGCCGCGUGAGGGAUGACGGCCUUCGGGUUGUAAACCUCUUUCAGUGCCGACGAAGCCUUUGGGUGACGGUAGGUGCAGAAGAAGGACCGGCCAACUACGUGCCAGCCGCCGCCGUAAGAC